rnacentral:lncRNA from 1 species
CAACAGUCUUUAGAACGUUGUUUCAUGCUUCUACUGUGAAUAUGGAGCGAACAAGAGGGCCUGGAGUCAGAUGAGUGAGGAAAUGACAUGAGCUCAGAGGCAUGCUCUCACGACCUGAGCCCUAGGACCAUGCCUCAGGACUACCUGGCUUGAUGACUCCUUGCUGUCCCCAGCUCACCUGGCCGUGCUGCUGCUCCAGUUCUAACUGUUCUGCCUGCAGCUAUGGAACCCUGACCUGUUCACCGGACGUGCUACCUGUCCCAGACCUGUUGUCCCAGACCUGCUGGAACCCUGACCUAUUCACCGGACAUGCUACCUGUCCCAGACCUGCUGUUUUCAACUCUCUAGAGACAGCAGGAGCGGUAGAGAUACUCUCAAAGGUCGGCUAUGAAAAAGCCAACUGACACUUACUCUUGUGUUGCUGACUUGUUGCACCCUCGACAACUACUAUGAUUAUUAUUAUUUGACAAUGCUGGUCAUUUAUGAACAUUUGAACAUCUAGGCCAUGUGCUGUUAUAAUCUCCACCCGGCACAGCCAGAAGAGGACUGGCCACCCCUCAUAGCCUGGUUCCUCUCUAGGUUUCUUCCUAGGUUUUGGCCUUUCUAGGGAGUUUUUCCUAGCCACCGUGCUUCUACACCUGCAUUGCUUGCUGUUUGGGGUUUUAGGCUGGGUUUCUGUACAGCACUUUGAGAUAUCAGCUGAUGUAAGAAGGGCUAUAUAAAU